CAGCGGCUAACGCAAACACGGAAGUGCUACAUAGUAUCCCAUCUCGUUUCAGUCUUCUCGUUUCAGUCUUCUGCAUCUUUGGUCUGUAUGAGCGGUAACUUAGCCGACGUUAGCUAUCAAAAUCAGUUGUGUUAACAAGUUAGCUGAACGAUAAGACUUUCGACUCUCCUGCCCAAGCAAAGGUCACCCUUACAGCAAACUCAUAGCAUGCUGUAGUUGCCGUUAAAGUACAUAUAUCCGGUUUUCUUCAGAUAACUUCAACAUACCUGAGGACCAGACAGAGGCGCGCCAGGAGCGUUUCUUCAAUAACUACGACGAACGCCUUCUUGUGGCCCAUGUAUGGACAAGAAUCCCCUGAAUAAUCCAGAGGAAACAUGUCAAGCCUCAGCAGCUGAGGUAGAGACAGUGACUGUCGCCUGGAAAGCCGCAGCUAAUCCCCCCAUGACCUCUCCGUGCCGGGAAGCUGAAAGACAGUGGAGGAACAUGGGAGCAGAAGCAGUACUGACCCCAGCCCGAGAGCCAGCACCAUCGGGAGCCCGACCCCGAGGAUGAGAGUGAGGCUCUCCAGGAGCCCCAGGUGUCGCUGCUGGUGGGCCUCAACUCCAGUGUGCUGCUGGAGGUCAGAGGAGGGUUGGCCUGUCCUGCCGCUGCUGACCUCAGGGAGAACGUGCACUGUGGCCACAUAGAGGAAAGUCCCAGCCGAGAAGAGCAUUCCCACACCCGUCGCACUGAGCUGAUUCUCAGAUGAACUGCCAGACUGCAGACACAAACACAUUAAAUAAAAGGAUACCGAGCCACCAGCUGAAACUGUA